CAAGAUGUAUUUAAAAACACCUCCAAGAUGAUCUUAGCAGCCCCGACUAAUUAAACUCCACGAAAGCUAGGACACAAACUGGGAUUAGAUACCCCACUAUGCCUAGCCCUAAAUCUUGAUACCUUCCAUCACCAAAGUAUCCGCCUGAGAACUACGAGCACAAACGCUUAAAACUCUAAGGACUUGGCGGUGCCCCAGACCCACCUAGAGGAGCCUGUUCUAUAAUCGAUAACCCACGAUGCACCCGACCACUCCUUGCCAAAGCAGCCUAUAUACCGCCGUCGCCAGCUCACCUCGCCUGAAAGAACAACAGUGAGCAUAAUAGCCCCAACCCCGCUAACAAGACAGGUCAAGGUAUAGCCUAUGGGGUGGAAGAAAUGGGCUACAUUUUCUAAAAUAGAUAACCUCACGGAAAGGGACAUGAAAUUGCCCCUGGAAGGCGGAUUUAGCAGUAAGGUGGGACAAUAAAGCCCACUUUAAGCCGGCUCUGAGGUACGUACAUACCGCCCGUCACCCUCCUCACAAGCUACGUAUAACAUAUAACUAAUACCCUUCCCCGGCUGAAGAUGAGGUAAGUCGUAACAAGGUAAGUGUACCGGAAGGUGCACUUAGCAUAUCA
rnacentral:rRNA from 1 species